rnacentral:rRNA from 1 species
UGAACGCUGGCGGCGUGCCUAAUACAUACAAGUCGAGCGAACGGACGAGAAGCUUGCUUCUCUGAUGUUAGCGGCGGACGGGUGAGUAACACGUGGAUAACCUACCUAUAAGACUGGGAUAACUUCGGGAAACCGGAGCUAAUACCGGAUGAUAUUUUGAACCGCAUGGUUCAAAAGUGAAAGACGGUCUUGCUGUCACUUAUAGAUGGAUCCGCGCUGCAUUAGCUAGUUGGUAAGGUAACGGCUUACCAAGGCAACGAUGCAUAGCCGACCUGAGAGGGUGAUCGGCCACACUGGAACUGAGACACGGUCCAGACUCCUACGGGAGGUAGCAGUAGGGAAUCUUCCGCAAUGGGCGAAAGCCUGACGGAGCAACGCCGCGUGAGUGAUGAAGGUCUUCGGAUCGUAAAACUCUGUUAUUAGGGAAGAACAUAUGUGUAAGUAACUGUGCACAUCUUGACGGUACCUAAUCAGAAAGCCACGGCUAACUACGUG